rnacentral:rRNA from 1 species
CCUACGGGUGGCAGCAGUGAGGAAUAUUGGUCAAUGGACGCAAGUCUGAACCAGCCAUGCCGCGUGCAGGAAGACUGCUCUAUGAGUUGUAAACUGCUUUUGUACGAGGGUAAACGCAGAUACGCGUAUCUUUCUGCAAGUAUCUUACGAAUAAGGAUCGGCUAACUCCGUGCCAGCAGCCGCGGUAAUACGGAGGAUUCGAGCGUUAUCCGGAUUUAUUGGGUUUAAAGGGUGCGUAGGCGGUCGGAUAAGUUAGAGGUGAAAUCCCGAGGCUCAACUUCGGAAUUGCCUUUGAUACUGGUAGGCUAGAGAGGAGUUGAGGUAGGCGGAAUGUAUGGUGUAGCGGUGAAAUGCUUAGAGAUCAUACAGAACACCGAUUGCGAAGGCAGCUUACCAAGCUACGUCUGACGUUGAGGCACGAAAGCGUGGGUAGCAAACAGGAUUAGAUACCCCAGUAGUC